rnacentral:tRNA from 1 species
GCGUGCCUAGCUCAGCCUGGUUAGAGCACCUCGUUUACACCGAGGGGGUCGUAGGUUCAAAUCCUACGGCACGCA